AGAAUACGCACCGCGUGCUCCUGUGGAGCGGAACGAGUCAAGCUAGAUUGAUGUCCAAGCCCUUUGUCGGACCGGUUAUUCCAAAUCCAGAAUAUGCACCUCGUGCUCCCGUGGAGCGGAACGAAGCAGACGAGGUUGAUGUCAAGCCCUUUGUUGGAGCAGUUAAUCUGAAUCCAGAAUAUGCACCUUUUACUUCGGCGGAACAGAAUGGAUGAAGCGAGAUCGAUGUCAAGCCGUCUCUUGGAGUGGCUUAACAACUUCGCGGCACUGUAUUUGAUUGAACUCAAUCCUGUGAUACAUUUACCUCUCUCAAAGUGGUACAGAAGCACAUGCAUUAGAUAGUUGCGCUUCUGUGACCACCGUGUGUAACUGAGUUUAGUCUUAGUUUCUUCUUCUUCUGUUGAUAGAGUGAACAUUGUACUCUUGGUUUUUUCUCCUGUUGAUAACUAUGUUGGCCAGCUGCAUAUAGGUUGAGUGCGA
rnacentral:lncRNA from 1 species